UCUGUUGGAGGCGCCUCCUUCCUUUCUAGGGAUGCUGCUCUGCCUCCAGCACUAGCAGGAGGAGGAUCAAGGCCAAGAGGAUUUCCAGCUGCUCAGACCUGGAGGACCAAGUUGUGAUGCUAAAAGCAGAGAAUUUGGCCCAGGUUAAAAGGUGACAGCUAAACUGCAGGGAAGCCGAGACGUCUGGGAGAGGAAAGUGAGCCAGGUCGAUGGGGGGAAAAAGGGCUCCAAACAGAGAAGCCGGGGACAGAGGUCAGACGGCACAGGGGCUGGGAAGACUGGAUUGAGAGACCUCUGAGAGGCACCUCCCUCGCCCUCUCCAGCUACGCCCACCUCGCCAGGAGGGUCUCCAAGCUGCACACGAUGGAGAACAGUGCCUUUGUCCUGGGAGUCUGUUAUCUGAUGCAGUAACACUCGAACAUUACUGUACUUAAAAAUUGUGCAACAAACGUAUUAAAAAUGUCGAUUCUUGGCUCCCAAAUCCAAAGAUUCUGAUUCAGAGGAACGUGGGGUCUCCCAGGCAAACAGUGCUGGAAGAAGUAGAGGAGGAGCCUGAGUCCUCCUGCAAACUCCCGUCUCCCUCUCUCCAUGUACACGCCCGGAUGCAGCCACCACCUCCGCCCACCAUCUCCUGCAGGGUAGCUACUCCAGAGGACCGUGCUCUCCAGCACCCGGCAUGGUGUGUUUCAAAUAUAAGCUGCUCAAAAACUAUUUACCAAAUGAAUGCACUCCUUGUGCACUUCUAAAUCUGUCACUAGUCAUACGCAUCUUGUGUGCGCACACUGACAGAGAUCCCCAAUUCUAUAGGCAUGGCUUCUGGGUCCCCCGUCCCUGUCAACGCUCUCCAAACCACGUAACUGAGCUCCUCUCUGCCCUGCCUGCACCAGCCCCAUCACCAGCAGUGUGGUAGGAGGCUCAGUAAUUCCAUUUUCCAGGGUGACCCAAAUGUCUCUUUCCUGGGCCACAACAGACCCCGCGACCGAGGCGGUACCAGGACCCAUGGAGAAUGAAUCAUCACAAGAAUUCCCCGGAAACAUUUAAGUAUCGAUCCGGCCAGAUGAGGGGAUGACUGUUUGGGCUCCAACGGAGUGAGGCAGGGGCAGUACACACCCAAAAAGAUAAGGCCUGGGGGACGAGUCCCAGUGUGCUCAGCCUCUGUCUCCUGUGCCCCCGCCCCCUCCCAGCUAGGUAGGGCAGCAGGCAGCUUCCAGCCCGGGCAGAGGGAAUUGGCCCCAGGCUAAACAUUAACCAGAUGGCAAACACUGGGAGCUGGGACCAAGUGGUACCUGCUCCCUGGGUUGAGUAGCAGGAGGGAGAGGGCGGAGGAGCCCAGCAGAAAAACAGCUGGAUUUCGGUGGAGUAUUGAUCUCAACCAGGAAGAAACCAAUUAAGACCCUCAAAGGAAACCCUGGACUUUCAACCAGAUCUUGGAAUUUCAUUCCUACGAAGCUUCGUCCUCCUGCUCAAUCCUAUGCCUGCCCAACCUGCCUGGUGAUCCCACAGGACCUGCGCCAUCCCUCUUCUCCAUCAGAGAGCCAGCAUUCCCAACCUGGACCAGAAGGCGACUUUGGCCCUGAAGUCUCAUGGCAACCGCCAGGGUCUGGGCUCCCAUCCUCUGACUUCAGAAAUUCUCCUUCCCUGGGUGGCCAUGGAGACAACUGACCCACAGAAAAGAGGGCUUCCAGUGCAAAGACGGAGCCUCAGGCGGCAGAGCAGCUGGACAGCUACCACUCGUGUCAGGGGAGAGAUCAGAACGAGGGCUGUGGGCAGAGCUGAGGAGGAGACAGGGCAUCCUUCCUGAUGGUCAGAGUCCAGCCAACUCAGGGCAACACAAAGGAAAGGUAGGAGGACAGAGCAGACCAAGGGAAAACAGAAAACCGGGUCAAAGCAACAAGGGUAGGGUCGGGGCCACCCGAAAAACCAUGAAUGGACUACUGGGGGGCAGUGCUGGGGAGUGGGGAGCUGAACUGAAGUUUCCUGACGGGGCCUCUGCACACGAGCACUGACCCACGCACAGUGCACUUGGGUGGGGACACCGCACGGUGUGCACACAGACCCGAGGGGCUCUGGGGAGCCCCCCAGGUCAUGGGGGAUCGAGCCAGGCAUUGGGCCCAGGAGCACAGCCACACUCAGGUCGCCCACAGCUCCAUACGCUACACAUCAGAGGGGGCAGACAUGGGGGUGACGCCUGUCAUGUGGAACAGGGAGCAUCUUGCUUCCUCCACAGACACCCAGGAGUGGAUCAGUCCAGAGCCAGGGCACGGGGCUCAGGACGAGAGCAGGGUUUUACUUGGAAGGGGGUUCCCAGUGUUGCCUAAAGCUAGCC